GACGAUUUGGCCGAGUGGUCUCAGGUGCCAGAUUUAUGCUCUGGUCCUGAAGGGCGUGGGUUCAAAUCCACCGUCGUAA
rnacentral:tRNA from 1 species